GCAGCAGACGCGUUGCGUGCAACAGUUGUGCUCUAGGUCAUCGGUGCACAGUGCAUGCCGGGUUCCGGGGCUCACCUACCACGCCUACUGUACAUAUAUUUUGGAGCUGUAGCAUUUUCGUUAUUGGGCUACCUCUGCAAGCCCGCCGGCUUUCCUCAAGAGCCGGAAAAGGGCGGGCCCCCCCUGCAUAUAUCCGUACAGGCCGGUGCUAGGGCGGCAUGUGUGAUAAUUGAUGGGUAGUGCCAACGUGGUGAGAGCUGUGCUUGUUGCAGCAGUGCUGAUGCGGUGGGAGCUAUGCUUGUCAGAGCACGGGAGGCAGGACGCUGGGGCUCAUAACCUUUUGAAGAGACGGUGUCUCCCUGGAACCUAGCAGACAUGGUGAAGAGUCAUUGGCUGUUACACGUAGUCGGGAGGUCCACGACCUGCCACCGACAGCCCCUUGCUUGGGCGUAAAUGUAUGAGCCUGAGGUGCCGUUACCGGCACACAGCAGGGGCUCGGCCGCCAAGUCCGCUCAGCAGACACAAUCGCAGCUUGCCAGCCUUCAGCCUGUUGGCUUUGCGGUCUGGUGCUGUUGUAGUGUAGUGCAGUGCUACUGGCCCGUGAAGUAUGUCUCAGGCCGGCACUGCCCCGACCACGGUAUAAGACCGCGCUCCGAACGUGAGUAGAAUAUGAAUUCUAAAAGAACCCACGUCCGUUCUGUGAGCAAAGACGAUUUCAGUAGAUUUAUGGAUUUCGGUAAGGCUGUCGUACAGAUUCAUGAUGUUCAGUUUUGAUGAAUUCUUACAAACGAUUCUUGACAGCCAGGUCAGUUUUCGGAAGAUUUCAUGAUCAUAAUUGAUUCGCAUAUUUCUUGAUAAGCUCAUCAUUACUGUGUAGCUAUCGCGCUACAACAGCUGCCUCCUUCCCCCAGGAACCAGCGUCCUCGCUGUGUUCCGGGUGAGCUUUCCAGUAUUCAGUAAUCAGAUUUCGAUCGGAAAUAUCGGUAGAAUCAAGCCACGUAUUGUUUUCAUCAGUAUGUCCUUUCCAUUUGACCAGAAAUCGGUAUAAGGUUCGUUUUCUCAAUUUACGGGUUUCAUGCUUCAGGAUUCGUUCAAUCGUCC
rnacentral:lncRNA from 1 species